GGGGGUAUAGCUCAGUGGCAGAGCAUUUGACUGCAGCUCAAGUUGUCUCUGGUUCAAAUCCAGAUGCCCCCU
rnacentral:tRNA from 1 species